GAAGUACCAUAGACUGGGUGACUUAGAAAGAACAGAAAGGAAUCUCUCACAGUUGUGGAGGCUGGAAGCCUAGGAUAAAGGAGAGAACAUGGUUGGGUUCUUGAUGAAGAAACAGAAACUGGGAGGUUCUGUGCCUAAUUUCCCAGCUAAGAGAUGGCAAACUUUGGACUUAAUGUGAUGGUUCUCAGCUUUGGUGGCAUAUUGAAAUCACUGGAAAAGCAGAAACAAAGAUGAUGCCUGGGUCAAACCCUCAGACAUUCAGAGCUUCUAGAGGCUGCCUUCAUUCCUCAGCUCAUGUUGAAAGCCAGCAGUGGCUCCUUACGCGUCCUGAAGCACCCCAUGCUCACCUCCUCCUCAGAGCCCUUGCAUGGCUGCUCCCAGUGCCAAGAAGCCUCACCCCCUGAUGUCUGCAUGGCUCUCCCACACGUUUUUUGGGGGUGUUGCUUAAAUGCCACCUUAUCGGAGAAUCUUACUGCAAUAGGUUCUGAAAUUUGAAGAGGCAGUAUUGAAGGGGAGCUGACCAUGCUCGUUUAGACGAGCAAGAUCUACCAAGUGGAGAAAAUAUCCAUGUCCUUCUGAGUCACUACCUCAGCUGUGACUCAAGCCAUCAGUGGGACAGAAAGCACAAGAGCAAGGCCCAAAUAGCUCCUACCAGGUUACUUUCCAUACAUGGUUAUCAGAAUUGCAAACGUACCUUGCUAUUGAAAACAAGAGAGAUUCAGACUGAUAUCAAUUUUCAAAACAGAAAAAUGGGGCUUUGUGCCAUCAGAAGUCACUGUAUUAACAAAAGAUUAUCUAAAGCUUCUCUAUGCUAGUAAUUUCUUUGCAUGCACGUGUGUGCAUUCACAAACAUGUGUGUGCACUCACAUAAGUUUUCUAAUAUUUGAUUGACAACAUUUGUUAGAAAGGCACUGAUGAUCAGAAGCACUUUAUUUUGCAUUGCAUACAUUAGUUCUUUUCCUGUAGCUCAGGGUUUUUGCCACACCCUCUUGGGAUGAUUUUGCAGGUUGGGUCCCUGAGGGGCUCCUGGAAUGGAUAAUAGAUUUCUGGAGAUUUCUUAGUUGCAGAGCAGCCUUUUAUCCUUCUUCCCUGAGUCCCCUGCCCUCUGAGUGCCGUGCAUUUAGGGAAGGAAGUCAGGCUCGGUGUGGUUGGCAUUGUUGCUAGAACAGCCCAGCCUGUGGACCAUUAAUACAAUUAUAUGUUUAUCGAAAAAUUGGGCAAUUUAAAAGCGGAGCUAUGUGUUCCUUUCCAAACACCUUCUUGGUUGUUUAGAAUAGAAUUGUUAAGCAUGUGAGCUGAUUCUUUAGUUUCCAGCAUUCACAGCUCCCACUCACGUCUUUGAAAAUCCCUUUAUGGCAUCUACUCACAGUAGUCAAAUUGUGAAAGUUAAAUGACAUACAUUAAGAAAAAAAUGGGCCCCCGUGGCUGUUGGUUCUUUUGUCAUCCUAUCGGGAGUCAGGAAUCCUAGAGGGACCUGCAUUGUUCACACAGCCAUGCAGAAAUAAUACAUGGUACAGAGUGUUAGAAAUCAUAAAGCAUCUCCCAUAAUGUGAUGCCCAUCAGUGCUCCCUGCCCCCUGCUCAGUGCUUCCCCCACGUGUCUGCCACCCCCACCCCUACUUCUUUACACGUGUGGUAGCCCUGUGAGGGAAGAGGUCCGGGGCACCUCCUGGCGAUGCCCUCUCUCUAUCGUUUCUCUGACUCUGACCCCAUCCUGCCCCUGAUGAGUGUUUUCUGAGCUGAAGAGCUACCCAUAAAGAUCAACAGACCCGAACAACCAGGACGAGUCCGCGGGAGAAGGGUCCCAGAGGGAAAAUUUUGCCUUGAAGCCUCCAUUGUGAACUUUCUCGGUGGAGCAGGAAAACAUCACAAUGAGGCACCCAGAGGAAAAUGGUCUUUUGGGAAUGUGGAAAGAUACCUAGAUGUGGGUUUUCCACAUUUAAAGAUAUUCCGUGAUGCAGUUAUUGUAAGUACAAUGACUCAUUUUUAGACCCCGAGGGUCUCUGAAGUAAGCAGAGCAGGUUUCCUGUGACUAAAAGGACUCAAGUGACCCAUGUCCAAGCCUCAUCUAUGUAUUUGGCCUCAUCCUGUGGUAGAGCCAGCUCUGCAGGUAGGGAGGAGGGACUGAAAAUGGAAUUCAGGAGCAAAAGAUGUGGGUUUAGGUGAUCCACUUAUUAAUUCCAUGAACUUGUGCAGCUUGAAUGCCCUUCUGCACCUCAAUUUCGACAUAAGAAAAACGGGCACAAGAAUGUUUCCCUUACACGAAUGAAGUCAUGCAUAGGGAGUUACUUUGUGAGCUGUAAAAUGCUACAAAAAUAUAAACUAUGGGUGUUUCUGCUGUGGCUCAGGGGCUUAAUAACCCAACUGCAGUGGCUCAGGUUUCUGCAGAAGCACAGGUUUGAUCCCCAGCCUGGUGCAGUGGGUCAUGGAUCUAGCAUCGCUAUAGUUGAGAUGUAGGUCAUAGCCUCAGCUUGGAUUCAGUCCCUGGCCUGGGUAAUUUCCAUAUGCCAUGGGUGAGGCCAUUUUUUAAAAAUGUGAACCAUCAAUAACAAUCAUGGAAAAAUUCAAAAUCAUACACUGGCCUUGCAUUCAUCCAAUAUCUUUGUUCUGUUUAAAUAUAACCUCUUUUCAAAGAGGUCUGGCUAUCUUGUCGAUUAUCGGUAUCAUUAGAAACCAGUUUGUUAAUAUUAUUUUUAACUAAUGUAAUAACAUAGGAUGGCAUUAGGUGCAAUGAAAAAAAGAACUUCCUUGGAGUAGUUAUCUAUUUUAAAAACUAUGGGACUAUUUUGGACCAAGGAGGAGGGUUGGUUGACAUUGAGCUGGUGGCUUCCUAUCAUAAUCUUAGUUAGGCAUUUAUGUCUGUCAAAGGGCUGUUUUCCUCACAUGGAAGCUGAUUUCUCUUAGACUAAGACAAUCCUGUAAUUCUUCACUAGUCCUUAUUUGAAUGUAGCACAAAAUAUGGUGCAAGGCAAUAGUAACACACUAAUUCAAAAUGUUUUGUGUUAUAUAAUGAUACCUGCAUGAAUGCAUGCUAUAAAUUUAUUUUCAAUAUCUUUAGGCAUUCCUGUUCUGUGAACAUGGCCUUCCUCUUGUCUUCAUUUUUUUUCUCUUGUCCCCAUUUCUUUUCUCUUCCUCCUGCUUGCUAUUUUUCCUUCUUGCUCUUUUUAUAUUCCACUCUGUCUUUCCAAAUGGUUGGUCACAUUCAAUCAGAGAGACUGCUUUAAUCAGUGUAUCAGAGCAAACUAAUAUACUUUGGGUGAACCUACUGCUUUUGAACCCUAAUCUCCAAUAAGGAAGAUUCUCUAAUAAUAGACCUGGAAUAUACUAUUAGGCCAUGUGCCAUGGAGGGAGAGGUGCAUACAGGUGUGUUUGGGAAAAAGAGCAAACAUUCAUGUUCAUAAAAAACAAAGCAAGUGCAGUUAUCCAUUCUACACACAAAGGACAGGAAUGCUGCUUGACAGAUUAGAAAUAUGCUCAGGUAAUCUACAAAUGAGACGUGCUGGCUUUAUAAAUUGGUUGAGUGACCUUUGAUGAGAAUUAAAAUGCCACACAUAGCUCUAAUUGAAUAUUUUUCAUUGUGUCCUCUAAGUCUGAUAAAUCUGUGAGAAGCAAGAGCAUAUGUAACCUACAUCUUUAUCCUUAAUAUUAUUGUGACUUUCUGAGUUUUCUCAUUAAUUAGAGUGAUUUUCUCCACAUGCCUAAAUUGUCAAAGUAUGAAUAUGAGAAAAUGUCUUAAUGAUAUGAUUUAUUGAAGCAGCACAGAACGUUCAGAAGUAGAUAGCAAAGACUUUUUUUUUUUUUCUGUUUUCAUGAUCAAGCUUUCAGAAAAAUAGAUGUGAACAAUUCACAUUCUAGGACUAGGACACCUCAGUUGCCAUUUUAGUGGCUUCUGCAUUUCCAGCCCUGAAGUAAUAUAUGCCAUCUGCCCUCCAAAAAUACACUACUGAAGUUUAAAUUUGAUUUUUAUAUUGCCUGGGACCCAGCCUUAAUAUAUAAGGAUUUUUCAUAUUCUUGUUAUAUCCAUGAAUUCAGUUUAAAAAAAAAUUGAAUUCGAUCAGCCUAGAAAGGAAACAUAGUAGAAUUCUCACUUCAGUUGAUGUUUCACUUUUUUGCUGCUUCAAUUAAAAUUUUUUUCCCUCAGAGUUCCCAUUGUGGCUCAGUGGGUUAUGAACACAACUAGUAUCCAUGAGGAUGCGGGUUCAAUCCCUGGUCUUGCUCAGUGGGUUAAGGAUUCAGUAUUGCCAUGGGCUGUGGUGUAGGUCACAGAUGCAGCUCAGAUCUGGCAUUGCUGUGGCUAUGGCUGUCAGCUGCAGCUCUGAUUCAACCCCUAGGCUGGGAACUUCCAUAUGCCUCAGGUGCAGCCAUAAAAAGCAAAAAAAAUUUCCCUGCCAUGAAGUAUAUCAACUGGGUCGCAAUCUGGGAAUCCUUUAUCUUCCAUAAAUAAUUUACAUAUGAAGGGAUUUUAGUAGAAAAUGUUUAUUCGCUCUGAUUUAAAAUAAAAGCAGAUUUCAUUAUUUUAAGUAAAUUCUUUUUGAAAUGACUAACAGAUGGCAUCAGGUAAUGUAGACAUGUUUUAACAGAAAUAUUAAGCUCAUAAAGAAUAUUUUAUUUAUUUAUUUAUUCAUUUAUUUUUCUGUUUUGGCCACACCAGCAGCAUAUGGAAGUUCCCACGCCAAGGAUCAAACCCGAGCCUAAGCUGUGACCUAUGUCACAGCUGUGGCAACACUGGGUCCUUCAAUCUGGCAACUCCAUAGAGAAAAGCUGGAUAUUUAACCCACUGCACCACAGUGGGAAGUCCUCAUAAAGAAUAUUUUAAAGUACACAUAGUCCUUUAUUAGGAAAAAUCUGGUUUUUGGGGGCUCAUUAUGUAAGUUUACUUCCUAUAUUGAUCAAUAAUUGGAUCGGGGAGUUUCUGUCAUGGCUCAGUAGUUAACAAAUCCUACUAGGAACCAUGAGAUUCGAUCCCUGGCCUUGCUUAGUGAGUUAAGGAUCUGGUUGCCGUGAGCUAUGGUAUAGGUCGCAGACAUGGCUUGGAUCCAGAGUUGCUCUUGCCCCUAGCCUGGGAACCUCCAUAUGCUGUGGGUGAGACCCUAAACACACACACACACACACACACACACACACACACACACACACACACACACACAAAUUGGAUUGGUUCUUAAAAUUUUAAAUGUUUAGACCGUUUUUCUAGUUUAGAGUGUAUGUCUUCUUGGCUAGAAACUGUGUCUCAGGCAUUUGUAUUUAUUUGGUAUUAGGCAAAGUACCUCACUCAAUAGGUUUCUGAUAACUGCAGACUGAAUGGUGAAAUGGGUGCUGCUUGAUCACUCAUCCUCCCCUGUUUUUAGCUACAGCCCCCAUCCUCUUCCUGAUCUCUAGAAAUCCUAGGUUCUUCCUCUAUUGUCCCUCAUGUGUUCUAGCACCUACCACAACCCAUUCAGGGCUGGCUCAAACUUGCCUCAGCGACUUGAAACUCCCCAAGGGAGACCCUGGUCCCGGCUCUCUGUCCUGGGUCUGAAUCAUCAACUUCCCACCCCACCUCCCCACCCUGGGGAUGUGAUCAGUGCUGAGCUGGUUGGAGCAGCAGCAGCAUCUGAACUGAUCUGAGAAGCUAGGUUCCUUGAACAUCUUUUCUUUUAGUUCUGAAGCUUGUAAAGCUGCUCACUGGAGACCUUGCAUCCUGUGUUAACCAAGGACCACCCCUCCACAUACUGAAAAACAUGCUUCAUUCAAGGGCAACUCAUUACUCAAAAGCAAGUUCUUCACACGCUGACAAGGUUAUGAUGGAUCUUGUGUUACAUAAAAAAGUGUCUAUGAGCUCCAGGAAGAACACAUCUGCUUCCAUCUCAGCUCAAAGGGAUUCUACCAUUCAGAUGCUCCUUGUGUUUGGCAAACCAACUCUCAUUCUCAUCACAUAAAAUUAACUUUAAAAGCCUACUUACUUGUGGGAUGGAAAUCCUGUGAAAUCAGAUUGGUAUGAUCAUUAUACAACUACAGAUGUGAUAAAUUCAUUAGAGUAAUUAAAAAAUGAAAAAAAAA
rnacentral:lncRNA from 1 species